rnacentral:rRNA from 1 species
ACGGGGAGCACCACAACAGGUGGAGCCUGCGGUUUAAUCGGACUCAACGCCGGGAAACUCACCAGAUAAGACAGCUGAAUGAUAGUCGGGCUGAAGACUCUACUUGACUAGCUGAGAGGAGGUGCAUGGCCGUCGUCAGUUCGUACUGUGAAGCAUCCUGUUAAGUCAGGCAACGAGCGAGACCCACGCCAACAGUUGCCAGCUCGUCCUCCGGGAUGGUGGGGACACUGUUGGGACCGCCUCUGCUAAAGAGGAGGAAGGAAUGGGCAACGGUAGGUCAGCAUGCCCCGAAUUAUCUGGGCUACACGCGGGCUACAAUGGGUGGGACAAUGGGUAUCGACACCGAAAGGUGAAGGCAAUCUCCUAAACCCAUCCGUAGUUCGGAUUGUGGGCUGCAACUCGCCCACAUGAAGCUGGAAUCUGUAGUAAUCGUGUCUCAAAAUGGCACGGUGAAUACGUCCCUGCUCCUU